UCUGUUCUUAAUUUCUUCUGUUCAGGUGAUUCACAGGAUGUCAAUCAUCCAGCUGUUAUUGCCGUGUUUAAAACUCGCUCCAGUCAAGUCUUUGAGCUGCUGCCAUGUGGUUUUGUGAUGGGAGAGGCUGGAGCAGAACCUCGAUUCAUGCAGUUCCACUCACACUUCCAACACGGAGCUCUGCUCACUGUGUGCUGGUCUGACGGCCGCAUCACUCACGUGCCAUUCUACUUCAGCAGUGCUGGUGUUUCAGGAGGAUGCUCACAGCUGCUGCCCAUCACCAGCACAACUGCAGAUCACUCCACAAACACCCUCUACACACAACACACUUCAUGAACACCUGUAACACUCUAAACAAGUGUGAUUACCUUUACAAAUAAACAUUGUGCUGACUGUCAAACAAUGCCAAGAUGAGUUUUCUUUACAAACAGCUGACAAUUCUGUACUAAAUCUAUACUAGUCAUUUUAUAGAGUUUGUUGUCCUUCCAUUCUAUCCAUUCCAGGGAGGAUGCCAUCUCUGGUUUCACAACAUCUGUGUGCUUUUUCUGUUGGUUUAAUACGAAAUGCUGGAAAUAUGCUGCUUAAUAGCGUUAAGUGUAUUAGUGUGGGGGUACUGACAUUUUUUGCGGAAGUUAACCGAAAAUGGGAACAGUGAUUUUCAAUUGUUCCAGAAUGAAAAUGUUAUUUUUAAAUGCUGGUAAUUUUUGGAACUACACCACUUCAUGUUGCUGAAAAAUGCAACGUGGGUUUGAUCCUGAAGGAAACUGCUGCAUCACACAUUUCUUUGUCUAGUUGUGUUUGUCCCAUUCUGUGAAUGAAGACUUUUCUAACAACUAUGUGUACUUAUUAAAUAUACAUGCACGACUAAUCCAGAUACAAAGAAAACAUUAUUAGAGUAAAGUACAUGAAAGUACUGCCGAGUUUUGACUGAGAAGCAGAUCUGUAAUUGAAAUUAUACUUAAAGGUUCACCCAAAAAUGAAGAUUCUCUCAUCAUUCCCUCAUGCCAUCGCGAUGUGUGUGACUUACUUUCUUCUGUGGACACAAAUGAAGAUUUUUAGAAGAAUAUUUCAGCUCUGUUGGUCCAUACAAUUUAAGCUCCAAAAUCCACUUAAGGGCAACAUUAAAGUAAUCCAGACACUCCAGUGUUUUAAUCCAUAUAUACAGAAGUGAUAUGGUAGGUGAGAAACAGAUCAAUAUUUAAGGCCUUGUUUACUUUAAAUUCUCUUCCCUGCUCAUUCAAUCUCCAUUUUCACUUUCAAAUUUUUUGUGCAUAUCGCCACCUAUUGGGCAGGCAGGAGAAUUUAUUAUAAGAAAUGACUUAAAAAUGUAUGGUUAUUUCUAAAGACUUUGAUUUAAUCACUGGAGUCAUAUGGAUUACUUGUAUGCUGCUUUCAACAUUUUGGCAUCCAUUCAAUUGCGUUGUGUGGAACUAUGGAGCUGAAAUAUUUUUCUAAAAAAUCUUAAUUUCUGUUCUUUAGAAGAAAGUCAUACACAUUUGGGAUACCAGGAGUGUAAGUAAAUGAUGAAUUUCAUUUUUGGGUGAAUUACUCCUUUAAGACCUUGGUUUUUUUUUUUACUCUAAAUCUCCACUUUCACAUCUGAAAGGGAAAGUGGAGAUUUAGAGUAAAAAGGACUUAAAUAUUGCUCUGUUUCUCACCUACACCUAUCAUUUCACUUCUGAAGACCAUGAUUUAACCACUGGAGUCUUAUGGAUUACUUUUAUACUGCCUUUUGGACAUUCUGAGUUCUGGUCACCAUUCACUUGCAUUGUCUGGACCUACAGAGCUAAAAUAUUCUUCUAAACAUCUUUGUAUUCUGCUGAUGAAAACAUUAUAUAAAUCUGGGAUGACAUGAGGGUGAAUACAUGAGACUUUUCAUUUUUUGGUGAGCUAUCCCUUUAACUGUUAAUUAACUGUCCUUAUCUAAUUAAGAUUCCUUUUGGAACAGAACUUAUAUUUUCAAGUAGGAUGACACUUCAUGGAUAUGUAAACAUAUUUCAAAGAUACUGCUCAUAAAUACAUAAGUGUAGAUAAUCAAAACCAGCAAGUACAACCCCUCCAUUAUUAUAGCAUGAUCAAUGGAAAUAUGUAAACGCUUCACACCCUUGCAUAUAUCGGUACUGAACUAUUGCAAGCAGUGUUUGUUUUAACUACACUAUUGUGUUUGGGUGAUGCUAGGCUAGUAGUAAUCAUAUCAUUGAACCGUAAAAAAACGAUUUUGUCAGCAAGGUUGCAUGUGAACGACACUAGUGGAUGUGUUUAAGUGUUAAAUUAAUUUGAAAAUUAGGAUCCACUUUAUAUUAGAUGGCCUUAACUGUUUGAUACAAUGUACUUAUUAUCUACAUACAUGUUGUUGCAUUGUAAUUACAUUUGUUAACUUUAUCCCAAACCUAUCUCUAACCCCUAAGCCUACCCUAACUCCAAAACCUAACCGCACCGCAAACUCAGUAACAGCAAAUGUGGGAAUGUUGCAGAACAACAUGUAUUACACAGUACAUACAUAGUCUUGUAUGUAUUUAAUGUUAGUACAGAGUAGUUAAUGUCACCUAAUAUAAAGUGUGACUGUGUAAGAGCAGUAGAAGUCUUGCAGACAUGUGGAAGCUGUAUUACAUGACAGAUGUGUUCAACUGAGUGAAAUAAAGUAUUUAU